GAUGAACGCUGGCGGCGUGCCUAAUACAUGCAAGUCGAGCGAACAGACGAGGAUCUUGCUCCUCUGACGUUAGCGGCGGACGGGUGAGUAACACGUGGAUAACCUAUCUAUAAGACUGGGAUAACUUCGGGAAACCGGAGCUAAUACCGGAUAAUAUAUUGAACCGCAUGGCUCAAUAGUGAAAGACGGUUUUGCUGUCACUUAUAGAUGGAUCCGCGCCGCAUUAGCUAGUUGGUAAGGUAACGGCUUACCAAGGCAACGAUGCGUAGCCGACCUGAGAGGGUGAUCGGCCACACUGGAACUGAGACACGGUCCAGACUCCUACGGGAGGCAGCAGUAGGGAAUCUUCCGCAAUGGGCGAAAGCCUGACGGAGCAACGCCGCGUGAGUGAUGAAGGUCUUCGGAUCGUAAAACUCUGUUAUUAGGGAAGAACAAAUGUGUAAGUAACUAUGCACGUCUUGACGGUACCUAAUCAGAAAGCCACGGCUAACUACGUG
rnacentral:rRNA from 1 species